rnacentral:tRNA from 1 species
GGUGCUCAGUGGUAGAGUGUUUGCCUUGCAUGCAAGAGGCCCUGGGUUCAAUUCCUCAGCACCA